rnacentral:tRNA from 1 species
GGGCCCGUAACUCAGCCUAGUAGAGUACUCGGCUCAUAACCGAGGAGCCAUGGGAUCGAAGCCCAUCGGGCCCACUA